CGGGGCGAUCGGCAGCACCUUGCAGAUCGGCUCGACCCCGUGAACCUCGCGAUGAUCGUCAAUGAACGCGAUCAUCGUUUGAAUGGGCGGUCGAGCUCCGCCUGGGCAAAAUAAGCG
rnacentral:ncRNA from 1 species